ACUCAAUUUAGUCAAAAGGACUAAAUUGUAAAAAGUGCAAAAGUUGAGUUCUACAUCUUAGAGGUAUCUAAUUGUUAUGAAAUUUUAAAUUGGAGGUCUUUAUGUGGUAAUUAGACCAUUAGUUAGUUGAUGGACAAAAAUGGGCAUAGAAUUAGUGAAAUAGAUUUUUUUUAAGUAAGGGCAUUUUAGUCAUUUGGUAAUUAAAUAGAAUUAAAUGGGAAAAAGAUGGCAAAAUAUGCUCAUCUUCUUCAUGGUGAACGAAAUCAGCAAGGGGGAAGCCAUAGUUAGGGUUUUCAAGCUUCCAAGCUCCAUAGUAAGUGAUCCCAAGCCCCGUUUUUAAUGUUCUUUACGUUUUUGGAGUCCCGGUAGCUUAAUUUA
rnacentral:lncRNA from 1 species